GUAAGGGUUUCAGACUUAGAUUAUCCUGGAUUGGGGAAACAGAGGUUUCUGGGGGUUCAGGGAGAGACAAGUGAACCUACCUGGGAGAGUUAAAUUCCAUCAGACUGAGUAGGGUGGUGGGAUGGGAUUGCAACUUCUACACGGUGUGGGAUCCACUCCCACCCAGAGCUCUGGGGGUGACUUAGGACCUGAUGGAUGCCCCUAUGGAGACUGGAUCUCUAGCACUGUAGUCUGGAGAACUGCCUCCGGCCAAUGGAUUUCUGUGGCAACAGUCUUGGAUCCCGCCCAGAACACUGUUGCUUGGAAUGACAUCUGGAAAUCCGACAAGCAUCUUUUAACCCAGAAGGUUACUAAAGAUUGCUGUGCAGAAAUACAGGAAGUUGGGCUUUUCUGGUGGCACAACGGAUGGAAGUCUGCCUGCUGAUGCAGGGGACAUGGGUUCGAUCCUUGGUCCAGGAGGAUUCCACAAGCCAAGGAGCAACUAUGCCCAUGAGCCUUUGCUCUAGAGCCCUCGAGCCACAACUACAGGACCCAUGUGCUGGAACAUGAAGCUUAUGUGUUGCAGCUACUGAAGCCUGCAUGGCUAGAGCCUGUGCUCCACAGCAAGGGAAACCAUCACGAUGAGAAGCCCAUGCACAGCCACAAAGAGUAGCCCCCACUCACCACAGCUAGAGAAAGCCUGCACCCAGCAAUGAAGACCCAGUGCAACCAAAAA
ensembl:lncRNA